GGGCAGGUGGCCGAGUGGUUAAAGGCGCCAGACUGUAAAUCUGGUCCCGUACGGGUACGGAGGUUCGAAUCCUCCCCUGCCCA
rnacentral:tRNA from 1 species